rnacentral:rRNA from 1 species
GCGUCUGAUUAGCUAGUUGGUAAGGUAACGGCUUACCAAGGCGACGAUCAGUAGCCGACCUGAGAGGGUGAUCGGCCACAUUGGAACUGAGACACGGUCCAAACUCCUACGGGAGGCAGCAGUGGGGAAUAUUGCACAAUGGGCGAAAGCCUGAUGCAGCAACGCCGCGUGAGUGAUGAAGGCCUUCGGGUCGUAAAACUCUGUCCUCAAGGAAGAUAAUGACGGUACUUGAGGAGGAAGCCCCGGCUAACUACGUGCCAGCAGCCGCGGUAAUACGUAGGGGGCUAGCGUUAUCCGGAUUUACUGGGCGUAAAGGGUGCGUAGGCGGUCUUUCAAGUCAGGAGUGAAAGGCUACGGCUCAACCGUAGUAAGCUCUUGAAACUGGGAGACUUGAGUGCAGGAGAGGAGAGUGGAAUUCCUAGUGUAGCGGUGAAAUGCGUAGAUAUUAGGAGGAACACCAGUUGCGAAGGCGGCUCUCUGGACUGUAACUGACGCUGAGGCACGAAAGCGUGGGGAGCAAACAGGAUUAGAUACCCUGGUAGUCCACGCUGUAAACGAUGAGUAC